UCAAGGCAGGCUGACCUAACUGGCUUACUACACUACAAGACCUAGUUUACUUUGAAGUAGGACUGGCCGGAAUGUGACUUAACAGCUUCUUCCUGAGCAGGAAUUUAGAACACACCUUGGCAGCAGUGGGAGCUUUAAGAGGACAAAGGCUUGUUUCAUUCUCCUGGUCAUGAAUCAGUACCUGCUCAUAACUAACCCCAAAGUGAGUCAGGCUUGACUCUAAGGGCUUGAAAAGAAGAUAAUAAAAGAUUAAAGCUCUUUCCACGCUACUUUACAAGAGUUCAACCCAAUAAACUACAAGCAAGAACAGAUGAA